rnacentral:tRNA from 1 species
GCCUGCAUAGCUCAGUCGGUAGAGCAUCAGACUUUUAAUCUGAGGGUCGGGGGUUCGAGUCCCUCUGCGGGCA